rnacentral:rRNA from 1 species
UUACACAUGCAAGUCGUGCGAGAAAGUAUCUUCGGAUAUGAGUAGAGCGGCGGACGGGUGAGUAACGCGUAGGAAUCUACCUAGUAGAAGGGGAUAGCCCGGGAAACUCGGAUUAAUACCGUAUACCUCCUUUGGGAGAAAGAAGGCCUCUCUUUGAAGCUUUCGCUAUUAGAUGAGCCUGCGUAAGAUUAGCUUGUUGGUGAGGUAAAGGCUCACCAAGGCAACGAUCUUUAGCGGGUCUGAGAGGACGAUCCGCCACAUUGGGACUGAGACACGGCCCAGACUCCUACGGGAGGCAGCAGUGGGGAAUAUUGGACAAUGGGCGCAAGCCUGAUCCAGCCAUACCGCGUGUGUGAAGAAGGCCCUAGGGUUGUAAAGCACUUUAAGUUGGGAAGAAAAGUUAUUGGUUAAUACCCAAUGACCGUGACAUUACCUUCAGAAUAAGGACCGGCUAAUUCCGUGCCAGCAGCCGCGGUAAUACGGAAGGUCCAAGCGUUAAUCGGAAUUACUGGGCGUAAAGCGCGCGUAGGUGGCUUAUUAAGUUGGAUGUGAAAUCCCCGGGCUCAACCUGGGAACUGCAUCCAAAACUGAUUCACUAGAGUACGAUAGAGGGAGGUAGAAUUCACAGUGUA